UGGGGAAUAUUGCACAAUGGGCGCAAGCCUGAUGCAGCCAUGCCGCGUGUAUGAAGAAGGCCUUCGGGUUGUAAAGUACUUUCAGUCGGGAGGAAGGUGGUAAGGUUAAUAACCUUAUCAAUUGACGUUACCGACAGAAGAAGCACCGGCUAACUCCGUGCCAGCAGCCGCGGUAAUACGGAGGGUGCAAGCGUUAAUCGGAAUUACUGGGCGUAAAGCGCACGCAGGCGGUUUGUUAAGUCAGAUGUGAAAUCCCCGGGCUCAACCUGGGAACUGCAUCUGAUACUGGCAAGCUUGAGUCUCGUAGAGGGGCGUAGAAUUCCAGGUGUAGCGGUGAAAUGCGUAGAGAUCUGGAGGAAUACCGGUGGCGAAGGCGGCCCCCUGGACAAAGACUGACGCUCAGGUGCGAAAGCGUGGGGAGCAAACAGG
rnacentral:rRNA from 1 species